CCCGCACAAGCGGUGGAGCAUGUGGUUUAAUUCGAAGCAACGCGAAGAACCUUACCAGGUCUUGACAUCCCGAUGCUAUUUCUAGAGAUAGAAAGUUACUUCGGUACAUCGGUGACAGGUGGUGCAUGGUUGUCGUCAGCUCGUGUCGUGAGAUGUUGGGUUAAGUCCCGCAACGAGCGCAACCCUCGACCUUAGUUGCCAGCAUUCAGUUGGGCACUCUAGCGAGACUGCCGGUAAUAAACCGGAGGAAGGUGGGAUGACGUCAAAUCAUCAUGCCCCUUAUGACCUGGGCUACACACGUGCUACAAUGGUUGGUACAACGAGUUGCGAGUCGGUGACGGCGAGCUAAUCUCUUAAAGCCAAUCUCAGUUCGGAUUGUAGGCUGCAACUCGCCUACAUGAAGUCGGAAUCGCUAGUAAUCGCGGAUCAGCACGCCGCGGUGAAUACGUUCCCGGGCCUU
rnacentral:rRNA from 1 species